rnacentral:misc_RNA from 1 species
GAUCUGAGGAUAAAACUCUCUGAGAUGCUACGUUGACUUUUAUAUAACGGUUUCAGAAUGCGAUUUCAAGAAAUACCUUUUUGUGUCCUUAUGCUCUUUUUGGUGAACAUCGGAAAAAAUGAAGGGUUGUUACAUGGGAAUUCUAUACAUUCAAAUAAUUCAAUUCACGACCACCUUGGAGAAAAUGUUGAUAUGACGGGAAUUACGCAAAUGCUUUCAAACCUGACUGCUGAACUUGAAAAUCUGAAGGAAAAGACAGCAGACAUAGAACAUCUGAAACAGCAGACAGUAGAGAUGGAACAUAUGAAACAACAAAUAGAAAAAGACCAAUUAACCAUACAGUUGCUGCAAAAUCGGGUAUUUACCCUCCGCUCAGGAGUUUUCCACGUAUUUGAGUGGCAUGAACCAAUUAACACACAAUCUAGUCGACAACGAGGCGAGUGAUAGAAACCUUACACAGCAAUUAAGCAAAGCUCAAGAUGAUAUAAAACAAAACAAUAUAUCAACAACACAAUUACUUCGAAAUCAAAGUAUGGAGCUGGAAAUGCUCAGACGUCAAUCGGGAAAAGAUAGAUCAACAAUACAGCAACUAAAUGGCUCUUUGACUCAAGAGAUACGUGGUAUCAAGGAACAAAUUGCAAGUAAAAGUAACCACCAUGCGUUUACAGCGGGAAUACCAGUACAUAACUAUGGUUGGACAGGAGACACCCUAGUGUUCCCCGUAGUAAUCUACAGUGUAGGAACAGGCUACAACCCCAGUACUGGUAUUUUUACAGCGCCGGCAGCGGGGACAUAUGUGUUCUAUGUCUCUGUUCAGUCUGCAUGGCACAACAUCAUCUAUCUAGACAUAGUUAUGAAUGGAUCCAGUAAGGUCAGGGCUAUGGCUUGGUACGACAGUGGGAGCAGCAUUGCCAUUCGCCAGACCGGAACCAACCUGGUCAUCUUACAUCUACAGACCGGGGACAGGGUGUGGGCCAAACGGUCCAGUGGUACCGGUUACCACAGUGAUGGUGCUCACAUAACAACGUUCUCUGGAUUUAAACUUUACUAGUUAAAAUGAUUUUUUUGAGAUAAAUCUCUAUUAUUAACAGGUAUUGUAGGAAAAGAAAACAUUGUUUCUUAGUUGUGGUGUUCAUAUUUCUUUCUGAUCUGAGUGAUGUGUUCCAUCGAUCUAGAACCUUCUUUUACAGCACAUUAUUGUAUUUUAUCACAGGAUUCAAAUGUGCCAGAACAAAUAUAAUAAAGAAUUAAA